rnacentral:rRNA from 1 species
CAUGCGAGUCGAGAGGUGCAAGACCUCGGCGUACUGCUCAGUAACACGUGGACAAUCUGCCCUGAAGAGGAGGAUAAUCCCGGGAAACUGGGGGUAAUACUCCAUAGUUCGUGCUGACUGGAAUGUUAUGCGAACGAAAGAUCCGUCGCUUCAGGAUGAGUCUGCGGCCGAUUAGGUAGUUGUUGGGGUAACGGCCCAACAAGCCUGUCAUCGGUACGGGUUGUGGGAGCAAGAGCCCGGAGAUGGAUUCUGAGACACGAAUCCAGGCCCUACGGGGCGCAGCAGGCGCGAAAACUUUACCAUGCGGGCAACCGUGAUAAGGAAACCCCGAGUGUUGCCAGCACAGGCUGGUCCACCAGUGUAAAUAACUGGUGAAGAAAGGGCCGGGCAAGACCGGUGCCAGCCGCCGCGGUAAUACCGGCGGCUCGAGUGGUGGCCGCUAUUACUGGGCUUAAAGGGUCCGUAGCUGGAUAUACAAGUCCCUUGAGAAAUCCGCCGGCUUAACCGGUGGGCGUUCAGGGGAAACUGAGAGUAUUUCUAGGGACCGGGAGAGGUGAGAGUGCCGGGGUAGGAGUGAAAUCCUGUAAUCCCGGUGGGACCACCUAUGGCGAAGGCAUCUCACCAGAACGGGUCCGACAGUGAGGGACGAAAGCUGGGGGAGCAAACCGGAUUAGAUACCCGGGUAGUCCCAGCUGUAAACGAUGCGCGUUAGGUGUGUCAGUGACCACGUGUCACUGAGGUGCCGAAGGGAAACCGUGAAACGCGCCGCCUGGGGAGUACGGUCGCAAGGCUGAAACUUAAAGGAAUUGGCGGGGGAGCACCACAACGGGUGGAGCCUGCGGUUUAAUCGGACUCAACGCCGGAAAUCUCACCGGAUAAGACAGCUGAAUGAUAGUCGGGAUGAAGACUCUACUUGACUAGCUGAGAGGAGGUGCAUGGCCGUCGUCAGUUCGUACUGUGAAGCAUCCUGUUUAGUCAGGCAACGAGCCCCACGCGAGCAGCCAGCUUGGCUGUAC